AUAGGACAAGAUGGUAUAAUGGCGCGUGAUUUUGAUUUUCAGUGUAAAGACAAACGAUUAAAGUGUGGGCGAUCGAUCCUUUAGUCCAUAGGUGUUUGAGGCUAGAGGUACCAGAAAAGUUACCACAGGGAUAACUGGCUGGUAGCAGACAAGCGUUCAUAGCGACGUCGCUGUUUGAUCCUUCGAUGUAGGCUCUUCCUAUCAUCCCGAAGCUGCCUUAGGCAAGCUUUGGAUUGUUCACCCACUGGUAGUGAACGUGAGCGGGGGUUAGGCCGUCGUGAUGCCGGUUAGUUUAACCGUACUCUUGAUUUUGACGCAUUGGUACUUCAGCGCAGUUCGAGACGAUCAGCGGAUUCAGUGAACUGGUUGUGGCGCCUGUCCGCGAGGGCAGUACGUGAGGAAGCG
rnacentral:rRNA from 1 species